GCCUGGGUGGUUCAGUUGGUUGAGCAUUUGACUUCAGCUCAGGUCAUGAUUUCACAGCUCAUAAGUUCGAGUCCUGCUUCAGGCU
rnacentral:tRNA from 1 species